GUUGAGGUGGCCGAGUGGUUAAGGCGUUGGAAUUGAAAUCCAAUGGGAUCUUCCCGCACAGGUCGAAUCCUGCCCGCAACG
rfam:Nematostella vectensis strain CH2 x CH6 NEMVEscaffold_452_Cont27650, whole genome shotgun sequence.